GCCUCCCAUCCGCCCUUUUCCCGCCCCACCCCCAAAUUUUGGGGCUCGCCCUCAUUUUUUGGGGGCGCCCGGGGCGAUUUUGGGGCUCCGUGAGCUGGAGGCGCUCCCCGAUGACGUCACCAAGCUCCCGAGCCGGUUUUUGGGGCGCCCGGACCGGUUUUGGGGUUUUUUAUUUUGGGCUCGGCCUCGUUUUUGGGGGGUUCAAUUAAAGGCUUUGGGCUCUUAAUUAAAGUUUUUGGGGCGCUGAUGACGUCAUAGCGGUGGGAAUGGGGUGCUGGCGGUGAUGACGUCACCGCACCCCAAAAAUGCGGCUCCGCCCCCCCCAUCCCCCAAAAUCCCAGAGCGGCCGCGGCCGAAUUUGGGGUGAAACUGCUCGGGAUCAGUUUUGGGACCAUGGGGCGCCUGUGCCGCUGCUGCCGCCGCCGGGGUCACCCCAAGGGUCACCCCAAGGGUCACCCCAAGGGUCACCCCAAGGGUCACUCCCGGGGUCACCCCAAGGGUCAGCGCCACCCCCCGGCCCUGCUCCCCUCCCCCAGCCCAGGGGCCCUGCCCGCCGAUGACGUCACCGAUGACGUCAGCAGUGCCCGCUUACGUCAUCUGGCCGCCCCCGGCCAUCGUCACCGUGGGGACGCCGCGGGUGGCGCUGCUGGGGGAGCCCGAGCCCCAAAUCCGCUGCUUUUAGCCCCAAAAAGGAGAAUUGCACCCCAAAAUUCGGAUUUUUAACCCCAAAAUCGAGAAUUUUUAAAAAAUUCGGGAAAUUAGGACCAAAAAUUGGGAUUUUAGAACAAAAAAUUGGGAUUUUAGAAGCAAAAAAUGAGAUUUUGAUGAAAAAUUGGGAUUUUGAGCCCCAAAAACGGAGACUUUAACCCCAAAACUGGGAUUUUUAACCCCAAAAUUGAGAAUUUCUAAAAAAAAUUCGGGAAUUUAUGACCAAAAAUUAGGAUUUUAGAACAAAAAGUUGGGAUUUUAUAAGCAAAAAAAGGGAGAUUUUUGAUUAAAAAAUCGGAUUUUGAACCCCAAAAAUGGAGAAUUUCACCCCAAAAAUGAGAACUUCUACCAAAAUCGGGGAUUUGUGACCAAAAAUUGGGAUUUUAACCCCCAAAUUUCGGAUAUUUUACCCAAAUUGAGAUUUUUGGACACCAAAUAAAGAUUUUUUUCAUCCCUAAUUUGUGAGUUUUGACCCAAAAUGUUGAUUUUUAACCCUAAAUUGACAUUUUUCACCCCAAAUUUUUGGUUUUUGACCCAAAAUGUUCAUUCUUCACCCCAAAUUUGUGAUUUUCUGACCCAAAAUGUUGAUUUUUAACCCCAAAUUUGCGAUUUUUGGACCCAAAAUAUUGAUUUUUCGCCACGAAAUUGUGAAUUUCGACCCAAAAUGUUAUUUUUAACCGUAAAUUGAGUUUUAUGAACCCAAAUUUGUGAUUUUUGACCCUAAAUUGAGAUUUUUUUCACCCCAAAGUUUUGAUUUUUGACCCAAAAUGUUCAUUUUUAACCCUAAAUUUGCGAUUUUUGAACCCAAAUUUGAGAUUUCUGACCCAAAAUGUUGAUUUUUCACCCCAAAUUUGUGAUUUUUGACCCAAAAUGUUGAUUUUUAACCCUAAAUUGAGAUUUUUCACCCCAAAUUUGCAAUUUUGGACCCAAAUAAAGAUUUUUUUCCCCCCCAAUUCCGUCUCUGGCUGCUGAAAACCAAACCCGGGGAUUUUUUACCCCAAAUUUGGAGUUUUUAGCCCCAAAAUGGAGGAAUUUGGGGGUGGGGGAGGGGCGGACUGGCGCCUUUAGGGGAGGGGGCGUGGCCAUGGAUGGGGCGGGGGCUGGGCUUGGCCACGCCCCCUCUGUUGCCUCUUUGCGCCUUAAAAGGGAAACGCAAAAGCGAUACUGGUUUGUACUGGUUUGUACUGGUUUGUACUGGU